rnacentral:rRNA from 1 species
GACAGAGGGGGCAAGCGUUGCUCGGAAUCACUGGGCGUAAAGGGCGCGUAGGCGGGAUGGCAAGUCAGUCGUGAAAUCUCUCGGCUCAACCGAGAAACGUCGGCUGAUACUGCCGUUCUUGAGGGAUGCAGAGGAGACUGGAAUUCCCGGUGUAGCGGUGAAAUGCGUAGAUAUCUGGAGGAACACCGGUGGCGAAGGCGGCAUCCUGGACCGGCAUUGACGCUGAGGCGCGAAAGCCAGGGGAGCAAAGCGGG